UCUCCUCUGCAAGCAUCUAUCAAGUGUGUUUUUAGCAGUAACUAACAACGUUUGGUAAAAAGCCAUCAGCAACAAGUUGAUCUCUGAGGUGCCAGUUUACAUCCAUCGCUAUACUGGUGUGUUCUCCGCUCUCCUGCGUCUGUCACCGGUAAGUGACAGACGAGCCAUUUCGCCAGCCUCUGUCAGUUCUCUCAUGGCACUUGCAGGCCCCAGCCGACCUCAGAAAACUGCUUUUUCUUCCUAGAUACAGCUGGCCUUGUCUCCAGAGCGCACACGCCGGGCUCCCGCCUAAGUUGCUCGCAAGCCCUCUCCAGUCCAAGGGCAAAGGGACCAAGUCAAGAAUCUUCUUUUCCAUCCGUGACUCUCAAGAGGCCGUGAAGCACCUUCUUUGCAGAUGCGUCAGAGGGGCAGUGGCAUAUGGUCGCAGACUCUCUCCAGUGCAAGAUGGAGCAUACAUUGGAAAGCUGUGAAUUGACAGCCUGAAAACUGCUGGUAAAAUUGUCGCUCUUCAGACAGAACCUAUUUUGGGGCACCCAAACAGGAAAUAAGCAGUCUUUCCUUUUUCUUAGCUUAAUGUUUUGUCAGCAGUGGAGUGGUUCAGGUUCUACAGAUCACAUCAUGGCAAAUAUCUGGUGGUAGUUUUGGAGGGUGCUUUCUGUCCCUGAUAAUCGUCUUUUAAAAUAAAUUCCUCUGAAAGGUAUCCA
rnacentral:lncRNA from 1 species